rnacentral:tRNA from 1 species
UAAAGACUAGUCUAAUCAAGACAGUUGAUUUCGACUCAACCCAUCCCAAUCCCGGGGUCUUUAU